CCUCUCCUCUCCAUAUUCUCUCUAACGCUCUCAAAACACUAGCCAAUCUCACUGUCUCCUACCUCGAGCUCACCGGAAAUCAUGGCUACUCUGGUCAUGAUUACCUCACACUCACCCUCCUGUACUCAUGUAUGCUUGAUAUUUGAAGACUAAAGGCCUUGACCUCGAUGGUUCCCUUUCAUAUCUUCUUAGAUCUAUAGAUCUAUGGCUUCUCUGGUCAUUACUCCGGCAUAUUCGAGCAAUAUGAGUCUUUUCGACUCAGGAUCAGAAUUUUCUCAAGACCUUUCUCAUUUCUAGGGUUUUCUAUGAAACCCUAAGCUAUUCGAGGUUCUUUCUCUGUUUGUUUUCUUAGAUCUGUAGUGUAUUUGUGUUCUACUGGACAUUCAAAGUAUUUCCCCAAAUUUGCCCUUUUAAAUAUCAUUUGUCGGAAAUUUAGGGUUUCUGAAAGGUUUUUCAAAAAUAUCUUUUCUGAUUCUUCCUCUUCUUUUCUUCAUGUGUGUUUGUCUUUAUCAUGCUCAUGUGUUUCCAUUUUACUACGUGUAUGUUGUUCUUCUUCUUUUCAUUUUUUUACUAUACAUGAUACUCUUGUUGCUUUGUGUUCUACUCUGCCUCUAAGACUAGAUUCGUAUGUUAACCUUUACUAUGUUUUCCUACAUGCUCUUCCCUAUACUUUUCAGUAUUAUUCUACCAUAUGUGUUUUCUGUUGAAUUCUUUGACUUUGUUUGCUCUACUGGAGUCUGUUCGUGAGUCUUGCUAAACGUGUGUCAUCCAAUAUUUUAUAUAAAAAAAUUCUCUUCUGAACUCACUUAUGUUUCAAACUUUUCCUAAGCAUGUUCUUUUAUGCUCUUAAAUAAGCUUUCUUUCUUUGUCAUAUCAAACCUGCUAUCAUAUUUGUUUUGUUUCUCAUGAGGCUCUGAAACUGACCUUUGAAGUUUGUUUUAAUGGCUUGCUUUCUCAUACCUAUGUCUGAUUCGAUUUGAAACCCUAGGAUUUGGAGGUUUUCUUGGGCAUGUUUUAUUUGGUGUUUGGACUAAGGUUUUGCAUUGGAACCCUGAACUCUCAGACUUACUUUGAGUCCACAAACUAAACUUGUAUCCCUUUACUUAUGAUGUUGAACCUUCCAAUAUUAGACUUUCUUCUAAGUAAUAUGACGACCUCUUUGUUUGAUUUGUCUCCUUUAUGUAUGAGGAAUUCUUCUUUAAAAAAGGUUUUGCCAACCACUAAUUGACUCUGAAUUUCUUUAAUGGGGUUUAAUAGAUUGUUACUGAUUUCCUUCUAAUCAAACUUUCUUUACCUUUUCCUGACUUGGUUCAUUCGAGUAAAAGCCUAUAUCUUUGAUUAUACUUGUCGUUUGAGUGAUUCCCUUUCCUUAUUUUUUCACAAGUCAAGUACCAUUGGACUUUUUCCUUCACUAACUUCUAUGUAUUUACCCUUAUUGAACUGCUUGAGAAAAUAUUCUGAUUAAUUCUUUCCUUAAUUGUCUUUACCCGUUUGAAAUUAGAGUCCCUUAAUUUAAGGGAGAUUGAUUUCAAUGUUAUUUCGAUACCUUUUUUUACUUGCUUGCUGCACUACUAAAAGGGCACGACCCUUCUAUACACACAGAUCGAUUAUUGAACACUUCAUUCAAUAUUCUCACACUCUCAAUUACGAUACUCUUUCAAUACUAUACUCUCUUCUGAGGUCUUUUGUAAUGUUUGCUUGCAAUUUUGCUUACAAGACUCCUACUUUCACUUAUUUGUUUCCCUGAAACUGGUAUAUCUCAAAUUUGAUUUCAACUUCUUCCCUAUGUAUUUACUUUACAGUUGCUAUACUCUUGUCUACUUUGCUAUUCAUGUUUUGUAAUGAAUAUGCUACUUUCUCUUUGCAUCUGCUGUUUGUCGUGAAUUCCUCAUACCCCCACCCCAUCUAUAUGUGUGAAUUAAGGCUCAUGGCCUGACAGUAUCCAUAUUGCUACCCAGGUCAAAACCAGAUCCACAACUCCUAAGAUUGGGCUAACAUGCCGGUUAGGGUAUGCCAGCAGUCCCAAUUGCUGGGCAUGACCACCAGUCUGCCAUGGCUUUCCUAAUUCCCUCUUCAUACACAUGCACUUAAUCUUAGACUCUAAGUUCUACAACUCCCCUCCCCCCGUC
rnacentral:lncRNA from 1 species